rnacentral:rRNA from 1 species
AAUCCAUAGGUUAAUGAGGCGAACCGGGGGAACUGAAACAUCUAAGUACCCCGAGGAAAAGAAAUCAACCGAGAUUCCCCCAGUAGCGGCGAGCGAACGGGGAGGAGCCCAGAGCCUGAAUCAGCAUGUGUGUUAGUGGAAGCGUCUGGAAAGGCGCGCGAUACAGGGUGACAGCCCCGUACACAAAAGCGCAUGUGCUGUGAGCUCGAUGAGUAGGGCGGGACACGUGGUAUCCUGUCUGAAUAUGGGGGGACCAUCCUCCAAGGCUAAAUACUCCUGACUGACCGAUAGUGAACCAGUACCGUGAGGGAAAGGCGAAAAGAACCCCGGCGAGGGGAGUGAAAAAGAACCUGAAACCGUGUACGUACAAGCAGUGGGAGCACCCUUCGGGGUGUGACUGCGUACCUUUUGUAUAAUGGGUCAGCGACUUAUAUUCUGUAGCAAGGUUAACCGUAUAGGGGAGCCGGAGGGAAACCGAGUCUUAAUUGGGCGUUAAGUUGCAGGGUAUAGACCCGAAACCCGGUGAUCUAGCCAUGGGCAGGUUGAAGGUUGGGUAACACUAACUGGAGGACCGAACCGACUAAUGUUGAAAAAUUAGCGGAUGACCUGUGGCUGGGGGUGAAAGGCCAAUCAAACCGGGAGAUAGCUGGUUCUCCCCGAAAGCUAUUUAGGUAGCGCCUCGUGAAUUCAUCUCCGGGGGUAGAGCACUGUUUCGGCUAGGGGGCCAUCCCGGCUUACCAACCCGAUGCAAACUGCGAAUACCGGAGAAUGUUAUCACGGGAGACACACGGCGGGUGCUAACGUCCGUCGUGAAGAGGGAAACAACCCAGACCGCCAGCUAAGGUCCCAAAGUCAUGGUUAAGUGGGAAACGAUGUGGGAAGGCCCAGACAGCCAGGAUGUUGGCUUAGAAGCAGCCAUCAUUUAAAGAAAGCGUAAUAGCUCACUGGUCGAGUCGGCCUGCGCGGAAGAUGUAACGGGGCUAAACCAUGCACCGAAGCUGCGGCAGCGAACGUAUCACCCAAGACAACUUUACGGAGUUGACGAUUGACGGAGCGAAGCGACGUCAAAGCGUUCAUUAAAGUCGAGUUGGCUUAGGGAUACGUUCGUUGGGUAGGGGAGCGUUCUGUAAGCCUGUGAAGGUGUGUCGUGAGGCAUGCUGGAGGUAUCAGAAGUGCGAAUGCUGACAUAAGUAACGAUAAAGCGGGUGAAAAGCCCGCUCGCCGGAAGACCAAGGGUUCCUGUCCAACGUUAAUCGGGGCAGGGUGAGUCGACCCCUAAGGCGAGGCCGAAAGGCGUAGUCGAUGGGAAACGGGUUAAUAUUCCCGUACUUGGUGUUACUGCGAAGGGGGGACGGAGAAGGCUAUGUUGGCCGGGCGACGGUUGUCCCGGUUUAAGCGUGUAGGUGUGUGUUCCAGGUAAAUCCGGUUCACUUUAACACUGAGGCGUGACGACGAGGCACUACGGUGCUGAAGCAACAAAUGCCCUGCUUCCAGGAAAAGCCUCUAAGCAUCAGGUAACAUCAAAUCGUACCCCAAACCGACACAGGUGGUCAGGUAGAGAAUACCAAGGCGCUUGAGAGAACUCGGGUGAAGGAACUAGGCAAAAUGGUGCCGUAACUUCGGGAGAAGGCACGCUGACACGUAGGUGAAGUGAUUUACUCAUGGAGCU